GAUGAACGCUGGCGGCGUGCCUAACACAUGCAAGUCGAGCGACGAACCGGGGCUUGCCCCGGGUCAGAGCCGCGAACGGGUGAGUGACACGGGGGUGACCUGCCCCCAUGACUUUGGCAGCCGGUCUAGAGACGGGCUAUUAGCGGAUGUGCCACUUGGGGGAAAGGAGGCUUCAGCCGCCGCAUCGGGCUUGGCCGGCUGCGCAUUAGCUUGUUGGUGGGGUAAGUGCGUACCAAGGCGACGAUGCGUAGCUGGUCUGAGAGGACGAUCAGCCACACUGGGACUGAGACACGGCCCAGACUCCUACGGGAGGCAGCAGUGGGGAAUCUUGCACAAUGCGCGAAAGCGUGAUGCAGCAACGCCGCGUGCGGGAAGAAGGCCUUAGGGUUGUAAACCGCUUUCAGUUGGGACGAAGCUUCGCUCGUGAAUAGCGGUUUGGAGUGACGGUACCUUAAGAAGAAGCGCCGGCUAACUACGUG
rnacentral:rRNA from 1 species